CCGGCAAGGUUGCUGUUGUCUGUGGUUAUGGUGAUGUUGGCAAGGGCUGUGCUGCUGCCAUGAAGCAAGCUGGAGCUCGUGUGAUUGUGACCGAGAUUGAUCCCAUUUGCGCGCUUCAGGCUCUCAUGGAGGGUCUACAGGUCCUGACUCUUGAAGAUGUUAUCUCCGAGGCUGAUAUCUUUGUCACCACCACUGGUAACAAGGACAUUAUCAUGGUUGAUCACAUGAGGAAGAUGAAGAACAAUGCCAUUGUCUGCAACAUCGGUCACUUCGAUAAUGAAAUCGACAUGCUUGGACUUGAGACCUUCCCUGGCGUGAAGCGCAUCACCAUCAAGCCCCAAACUGACAGGUGGGUCUUCCCUGACACCAACUCCGGCAUCAUUGUCCUGGCUGAGGGACGUCUCAUGAACCUGGGAUGUGCCACCGGUCACCCCAGCUUUGUGAUGUCCUGCUCAUUCACCAACCAGGUGAUCGCCCAGCUUGAGCUGUGGAACGAGAGGAAAACCGGCAAGUACGAGAGGAAGGUCUAUGUCUUGCCCAAGCACCUUGAUGAGAAGGUUGCUUCCCUUCACCUUGGCAAGCUAGGAGCUAGGCUUACCAAGCUCUCCAAGGACCAGGCUGACUACAUCAACGUGCCAAUCGAGGGUCCAUACAAGCCUGCUCAGUACAGGUACUGAGAGAUGGAACUUGAGGCAAAACGUGAUUGGAAACGGCGCUAUUGUUUCUUUUGUAUUUUCAUGAUGAUUUGUCCUAUAUUAUUAGGCUUCAAUUUUUUUCCUAGGAUUUGUGUUUUGGUGGUGGGGAAGACAUGGGAGGAAAAUAUAUGAAACGGUCUAUCUUGAAGACCACAUGGGAUUAUCUAAUAAGGUUUUGGAUUGGGGUUGUGUGGGAUAAUAUUGUAGCUGUUGCCAUUUUUCAUUUGAGUUUUCUUGCUGCAGCUUAUCUUCUUUUUAAUCAUGAAAAAGAUUAAAAAAUAACCUUUUUGUUUCACUUGUUGUCUCUCUUUUUGGUUGCCAAUCUUUCUUGGCUCACAUCAUUUUCGUUGCUUGCUUUUGUGCUUUGCCGUUUUAAAAAUUAUUAUAAUUUUCCAACUAUAAUUUUAGAAGUAUUUUUAAAUUGUUUUAAUGUAUUGAUUUUAAAAAUAAAUUUUAAAAAAUAAAAAAAUAUUAUUUUAAUAUAUUUUUAAACAAAAAUUAUUUUGAAAAAAAUAAUAUUUUUAAAUAUUUUGUUUUUUAAAAUAUUUUUUUUACUAGAAAAUUCAUUGAAAUAAUAUAUAUUUUUAUUUUUUAAAAAUUAUUUUUGAUAUUAAUACAUUAAAACUAUAUAUAUAUAUAUCUCUGAAGGCUUUUAUGUGUUUUUGUUUAGAUUCUAUUUUUCAAAGUAAUUUUUUUUUAAAUAAUAUUAAAAUAAAUUUUUUUUAAAUAAUUUUUUUUAAAAUGAGGUGAAAUGCAAUUUCAAAUAGCCUUGAGUAAUAACAAUAUUAUCUUAAAAACUAAAUGACAUACGUAUUUUAUUGUCAAUUUACAGUAAAAUAUAUCUUGAACUACAGUAAAAUCAUAUUUAUGUCAUUUGAUCCAAAAACAAUUAAGCUGAGGUCUUCAUGUUUUUUUUUUUUAUCUUAGUAAAAGUAUAUUUUUUUGCCUCUAAAGUAAACAAAAUAUAGAGUUGUUCACUAAAGGUUUUCUUGACUUUAUAUAAGUUUUAGGAUGUAGAUUUAUUAUUUACUUAUUUAAAUAAAUAAGUUUAAAUACAUGUCUUAUUUUAUGUUAUGAAAUAUCUUCAUUUUAUUUUUUAAAUUUUUUUUGUAAAAAAAUAUAUUAAAAUAAUCUAUAUAUCUGAUUUUUUUUAUGAAAUAAAUUAUAAGCCGCGGAAAGCGGAACUAAAAUCAAAAGGAUCAACAUCAUGGCACUGAAAAUCAAUUGGCUGUAUUGCUGCUAUUUAUUAUAAGAUAUUUUUUAUAAGAUAUUUUCUGACUUGUGUUAUAUUGAAUGGUAAAAUGAGCUGUGCCUCCGUGCUGCAACGCACUGUGGGUUUCUGUACUUUUCCAGUAUAAACUUUAUCAAGGCGAUGCUGUGAUGGAGGAAGAAUGGAGUAGGGGACAAGGGAGUGGGUGUUUGUGGUUUGUUUUUCUUAAUUAUUUCCAUGUUCCGGUGUUGGGUAGGUUUCGCAUUUUAUUGAUGUUAGUUCGAGAGCUGAUUUAUUUCUUUAAAAAAGAGGUUGGAAGUAGAUUUUUCUGGAAAGAUUUUCACUGCAAAAAAAACAUUUGAUGAACGUUAUUUGUUGCUCGUUGCUAUCCUGACUAGCAACUAAUUUUAUUCUUUUUCAAAAUAAGAUAAAGAAUCCUCUGUUUUUUUUUUUUUUUUAUUAAAACCAAUCGAGGAAGAUACACAUUAGCAAGUUGGCUACGGAAACCAUAGUUACCAAAUCUGAUUUGGGGUGGAUGCAGUCAAGAAGUCGGGUUUUAGAUGACAUGGGUUACCCCAUAAAGAUUAAAAAUAUUAUGUUUGAAAUUUUAAUAUUUUAAACGAAAAAAAAUAAUACAGUUGAAUGUAGGCUAUAAAAAAAAUAAAAUGUAGUAUAUUUAUCUCAUAUUAAAAAGUUAAUAAAGAAUCCAUGUGAAUAUAAGUUAUAUUUUUUUUUAAAAAAAAAUCAAUAUUGAUGUAAGAUAUAUAAAAAAAUGUGAAAUGUAAUGCAGUUAUUUCACAUCAAAAAAUUAAAAAACAAUCCUUGUAGAUAUAACUAUAUAUAAUUAUCUCACAUCGAUAAAUUAAAAAACAAUAUAUGUGGAUGUAGACUAUAAAAAAUAUGUUUAGUUAUUCCAUAUUGAAAAGUUAAGAAAUAAUCUAUGUGAUGUAAGUUAUAUAUAUAUAGUUAUUACACAUCGAAAAGUUAAGAAACAAUCCAUGUAAAUAUACAUUAUAAAAAAAUUAUGUAUGAUUAAAUAUUCAUAAAUUAUUUUUAUAUUUUUUGAAUUUAUUAAAAGAAUAAAAUAAAAUGUAAAAAAUAAAAUGUAAAAAAAAAGAAGUCAAGCCCCACCCUAGUUGCACCAGGUCACAAAGUUUUAGGUUUACCCAACAACUCGUACUAGUUUAACCAAACUAAUUAUAAAUCUGGAUUUUUAUGAUUUAAAAACUAGUCAAGACUUUUAGUCAUCUAGAACCUGAUAGUUCAGCCUGAGUUUCAUAAUCAUGGUUGAAACAUUAAUUGAUGUUUCAAGGCUGGCUUAAAAAUUAAAGGUCAGUUAUGCAUACUUGACAAGUAUUUUUUUUAUUAAUAUAAUAUCCGAAUUAGUUUAUAUAUACCCAUUAGUGUUCUUUUCAGGGUCCAUUGGCUGCCUUUCUGCUUAGUAUGAAAAUCGGAUCUGUUUUCCCUUUUAUCUGAAGGCAACGAAGACAAAACAUGUCGUGGAGACUCGAAAUGGUUCAAUGCAAUUCUUCAAUUGUCUUUUAAUAAUGUCCAUGGCCUGUUCCUGGGCACGGAAAUCGGAAAGCAAUGAUGAAGCUCCUUCUGAUAGUGGGAUGGUUUCUUGGGCUGAACAAUUUUUUUUUUUUUCACUGUCGAGCUGGUUGUAAGACACGGCUUGGUUCUUACAUGGUUUAGGAUACAGGUAGUUAGAUCAUCAAGUUAAUUUUAAAAUAAUAUGGUUUCGAUUAAAAAAAAUUAUUUGAAUUGAUCCGAAAGUUAGCAGGUCAACCUAUUAGACCACCGAGCAUGGCCAAAUCAAUGUAAAAAUCAGUUUGAGUUAUGUUUAAAAUAGAUUAGUGGCCUCUUCGUCAAGCUAGCUAGGAUGUGCCGAGUUUAAUGACUUUGAAAAAAGUAAUUCACAGACAUGGUGUUGCCAAAGUGGAGUUUCAAGAAAAUUUGGAGAAGCAAUAGCAGGCAAUCGAUGAAAAGAAGAGGAAAAAAACUUAUCUUGAAAAGUAAAUUGGUCCUGCAUUUCGACUUUUGACAACGAGGUUGCGUCUGUGUUUUAAACAAAACGCAGAUACAACCUGUUUGGUUAAAGAAAAAAAUAGUUUACUGUUCAUGGAUCCCAUAAUAUUUUUGGGUCCGAAACGCAGGGGAAAGAGAAGCAAAAAAAUGCUGCUUCUUACGCACUGUUCAUGCUAAUUAAUUAGCAUGAACAGUGUAGUCAGCUCCACUAUUCCGGCCGGACCGGUUCCGGUUCAAAGUUCAAAAUGCAUUGAACCAGGUCCGACCCAGUAAAAUAAUUUUUUUUUAAUUUUUUAAUUGUGUUUUAUUCGAAAAACUAGUGUUUAACAUUAUUCAAUGACACUACAUAAAUUAGACAGAGAUCGUUUGAUGACAUAGCGUUUGUAGAAUUUGAUCACAAUUCCAAUUUUGUUCCUGAUUAUAUUUUACCUGAUGUUGUUGCACGCUUAAGAAACCAAAAAAACUGUAGUUCUUAUCGGAUGUAUUUCAUACGUGAUGGAAUUGUAGAUAGUUUAAUGGAACAAUAAAAAAUAUUUUAUAUAAAGUAUUAUUUAUUUCAUAAUGUAAUAAUAAUAGUUAAAUCUACAAUAUUUAAAUUAAAAACAAUCAAUAUUAAUAUCUAUUUUUUAAAAUUAAUUUAUAACUUCAAUUUUAAAAGCAUUAUUAACCAAAUACAUUAAAUUACUUUUUGUUUAAUCUCAAUUUCAAUCAAAGUUUUAACCAAACAUAUAUUUUUUCAAACCAACUUCAACUAAAAGUAUAUUUUAUAAAACAAUUUUUUUCAAACCACAACGCAUAACUAUGAUCUUGAAAAUGAAUAGGGCUUGAACAAGAGUUCGGAGAUAUGUUUGAUGUUUCCAAAGAUGAACAGUCAUAUAACAUUGGGUGAAUGGGGAGGGCUUGGCUGUUUGAGGCAGCAUAGUGAUGGAGGCUGGCAGUCGGUCAGGGAAACAAGGCUGAAUGAGCAAGAGAUGGUGCAGCUAGCAAGGGAUCAGCAGAAACAGUGAAACUGGAGAAUUGCUGCCUUGAAAGGGGUUGCUCAACCAUUGCUAUGUAGCCACCAAUUCAGGGACCUAAAGUCUAAAGAAAUAGCAAUGACAUGGGUCACAGUAAAGCAAGUAGGUAGCUUAUAUUAGGGAUUUGCAGAGAGAACCUUCGACAGCGUUUGUUUACGCUGCUGCUGCUGCGUUUCGCUUGAAACGCAGCUCCUGCAUGUUUGGUUAAAAAAAAAACAGGAUUUACUGUUCAUGGGCCCCGCCUUUUCUUGCGUUUGCAACGCAGCAACGAUCGAAGCAGCUUGGAGCUGCUUUUGUUGCAACUGUGUUACAACACAGUAAACAAUGGCACGCCUUGCAGCAGAGGGAUAAUCAGCCCUUCUCCUUCCCCUUCUCCUUCCCCUUCUCCUUCUCCAAAGCAGCUUGGGGCUGUUUUUGUUGCAACUGUGUUAUAACACAGUAACAAUGGCGGGCCUUGCAGCAGAGAAACAUCCAGCCCUUCCCCUUCUCCUUCUCCUUCUCCUUCGCCUUCUUCUCCUUCUUCUUCUUCUUCUUCUUCUUCUUCUUCUUCACCAUGUCUCAACUGUUCUGCAACGUGAACAGUGGAGACUCCACUGUUCACGUUGAAGAACAGUGGAGCGCAGCUCCCUCACCACAACCCAGGGCCGCCGCCCCUUCUCCUUCUCCUUCUCCUUCUCCUUCUCCUUCUCCUCCUUCUCCUCCUCCUCCUUCUUCUUCUUCUGCACCAUGUCUCCACUGUUUUGCAACGUGAACAUUGGACGUUGCAGAACAGUGGAGCGCGGCUCCCUCACCACCGCCCAGGGCCGCCGCCCCUUCCCCUUCCCCUUCUCCUUCUCCUUCUCCUUCUCCUUCUUCUUCUUGUUCUGCACUUCUCCAUGUCUCCACUGUUAAUGGGCCGAACCCGAACCUAAAUACAUCGAACCGGUCCGACCCAAAUCUAAAUGCAUUGAACCAGAUGUGACCCAGUAAAAUAAAAAAAAUCUAAAUUUUUUUCUCAAUAUUGUGUUUUAUUUGAAAAACUAAUGUUUCACAUGAUUCAAUGGCACUACAUAAUUAUAUUUGAAGGAGAUCGUAUGAUGGCGUAGCAUUUGCAGAAUUUGAUCGCAAUCCCAAUUUUAUUCCUGAUGAUAUUUUACCUUAUGUUGUUGCACGCUCAGGAAACCAUGAAAAUUGUAGUCCUUAUUGAAUAGAUUUCAUACAUGAUGAAAUUGAACAUAGUUUAAUCUGACAAUAAAAAUACUUUAUAUAAAGUAUUGUUUAUUUCAUGAUGUAAUAACAGUAAUUAAAUCGUUAAUAUUUUAAUUAAAAAUCAUCAAUAUUAAUAUAUGUCUUUUUUAAUUAUUUUAUAACCUUAAUUUGAAAAGCAUUUUUUAACCAAACAUAUUAAACUACUUUUUCUUCACCCUCAAUUUCAACCACAGUUUUAACCAAACACCUAUUUUUUCAAACCAACCUCAACUAAAAGUACUUUUUUAUAAAACAACUUUUUUCAAACCACAACCACAACCACAACCACAACCACAACCACAAUACCAAACACACUCUAGUUCAAUGAAGGCAAAUUAAGGAUAUGAAGUCUGAACAGUCUAGGAAGGAAAUACGAACAAAUUUCUGAUAUCUAAUGGUCUAUUCUCAAAACAAGUCUUGACACAUUCUGACAAAAAAACCAUGAUUGAUGAAUCCCAAGAAGUCAAUGUUAAGGAGUAACCAUUAAAUUUGAUGGACAUUCUUGCAUGAUUGAUGAUGUUAAGGUGAGAAAAUCUUUUUUGUUUUUGUUUUUCAUCUGGGGUUAAGGUAGAGAAUGUUUAUCUUUGCUGGAAUCAUGAUUUUACUCUGGAGAGGGUCUAAAGCCAUGAAACUGAAGAUUGCAGCAGGUCAUGCCGAGGGUCAUGAUUCAAAACUGCCCUUAUCUGUCUGUGAUGGAUACAACAGACGCAGGAUAUAAUAUAUGAUGAUGAAGAUAUGCCAAUCCUUCUGUUAUUAAAAGCAUAAAAAUAAAGGGUAAGUUGCUGAGAAUUGUGAUAAAAUUGGCAUCUCGAUUUAAUAUUUGUACAUAUUAAAUAUAUUAAGUGAGUAUAUAUAAUAAAGUUCUAGGAACAUAGAACUAACUAAAUAUGUUCUUGGAAUUACAUAAUUUAUAUAGUUACCUUGUUUUCAACAUGGCAACCCAUUAACUAUGCCAUUUUUCCUAUUAUUUUUUUUAAAUUAUGCUACCUUGUCAUUUUUUCUGGCUAUAUGAAUUAAAAAAAUUGGUUUGGAGGGAAAAUAUGAUCAACUUGCGAGCUAGUUUGAGACCAUAAAGUCUAUUUUGUUGCUGCCUCAAGUUGUCUUUCUUAAUGCAAAUCUCGCUAGGAGAUUGUCAUAUGAGACUAUUUUUUUUUUAUCUAGUUUCUUGGUUCUUUUAGUUUGUUUUUGUAUUUUGCCCCUGUUCUUUAUCAAUUCUUUUGGGUUGUUUGUUGCUGCAGUGUAUUACUUUGUUUUAUGUGUAUUUAUUAUAUUUUUUUCUUUAAAAUUAGGGUGUAUUAGUAUCUGGGAGUUGCUUAAACUUUUUCUUUUGUUGUUGUUUGAUUGUUUCCCAUUGAGGUAAGCUAUUUUGCAGGUUUGUUUAUUGGUCUUUCCCUCUUUUGUGCUUUGUAUGCAUCUUUUUCUCCCAGGGAUGUUCAUCAUUUUUCAUCCACAUUGUUGCUUUGGUUAUUAUCUGGCCUUUUCUUUUUCGCUUUGUUCGUCCAUAUUGUGUGCUUUUAUGCUGACUCACGAUUGUUUAUUGAUUUCUCAUCCUGUGUCUCUUCAGAGGAUGGAAACUGUUAUUGGAUUUUUCUGGUUGCCAUCUUUGUUAUUUUUUAAGGUAGAUGCUAUUUUAUUCAUGUUGUUGUUUACAGUUCAAGUUCUGAAAAGUAUUGUGUGAUUUCCUCUUUGUUUUGAUGUUGGUUAGAAGGAAAAGAUAUAGAUGUUGUGAAUUUGGUUAUGUUUAGUAGCAUGUUUCAUUGUGCAAAGACAUUGUUAGGAUUGUCUUUGAAGCUGUUGUCUAUGAUGUCUUUGGGUGUCUGUAUUUUGGUUCAAGCUGCAUAUAUCGUCUUUAGGCAUUUUCUAGGAUUAGUUUGGUUUCUGAUGCUGCUGAGCUUUUUUUUCUAAGCAAUGUUGUCAUGUACCAAUAAGUCUGCAGACCUUAAAGAUGAUGACAUAUGGAAGCAAACUUGAUCUGGAACUGAUAAGGGGCUGCUUCGAGUGUCAUGUUCUUUACUUUAGAAGUUUGCCCCCUUUUAGUUUGUGUUUUCUUGCGUUGGAUAUUAAUGUACUGAUGGGUGGUUGAGGAGAGUACACUUAUGGCUUUAAGAGUGUAAUAGCUCCUUCACGCUAUUUUGCACUAAGUUUUUCUCCUAUUGUGUUUCUUUUGUAGCUUGCUUUGUUUAGUUCUUUCUUCUUCUUUUGCAUUGUGCUAUGCGUGUAAUGGAUCCUUCAUGUUAUUUUGCUCUUUUACUUCUCUUUUUUGACAUGCCUGCAGUGUUGGUGUGGUUAUAAUUAAUGCCUUAGGCUAUUGUUUCUGUCCAAUUUUUUCUUUUUAGGUUCUCUUUUUUUUCUGGUUUAACCUCCCGUUGCUAUGCGUGUAAUGGAUCAUUUGCUUAUGUUCUGUCUUCAACUCCUCUGUUGCUCAAACUUUCGGACCCUUGGUUGCUGCUUUUUAUGCUCCUCUUUCUGCUUUAUUUGUUUGUUCUUUCCACUCAUUAUUUUUUCUUUGUUUGUUUUUCCUUUUUAUCUUUUUCUGCUUGACUUGAUGUGUUUGCUUUUCAACAUUUCUAUUCUUAUCGUGUUAUUGUCUACGCUGUGCUUUCAGUGGGAGACAAAGUACAAAAAGUUACUGCAGGUUACGUUGCUUGGAGAUGGGUUCGUUGCUUCAACAUUAGUUAGUUGCCUUCUCAACUCUUUACUCAGCUUUGUCAGUCCUUUGGGUUGCAUUAUAGCACUUCCAACAUGUCCCAUUCCUUUUCUUUUUAGGUUGACUGAUCUUCUUCUUUCCUUUUUAUCUCCAGGUUUACUGGUACGUACAACCACCAAGUGUCUCGGUUGCAUCUGACCUGUGCUCGAGAUUACUGCCAGAAUAAAUUGAACUUUCUUGAUAUGCAGGUAAUCCUUAUUUUGUUGUUGCAGCUCUUACGUUGUUUUACAUUCCUCUGUUUGCUCUUUUUAUUUCCCUUUUUACCGCGAUGCUCAUUGCUGGACUAGCCAUCUUCGUGGACUUGAUGUGAUGUUCAUUUCGGGCAUUUAUUUUACAUUUGUUGUGGCAUUCAUGACAUGUUUUAGGUCUCAUAUAAUUUUAGUCAUGUGCUUUCAACAUGUCGAUUAGAUUUUCUUCCAUGCCUGUUGCUCAUUUUUCAUUUUCGCUCCUGUUGUUUUGCUUGUUGCACACCACUCUGUACGUAUUAUUUUACUUGUGCUAACCUUAUUUUUUCUUCAGCAAUUGUUGAUGGCCUCCACUAUGAAAUCAGGGGUUUUUACACCUAUGAGAACAUAUCAUCAAAUAUGGUGAUUGCCAAUGAUGUUGAACUUAAGUCAACCGUUAAGACCAAUCAAAUAGAUCCUCUUACCACCGUUGUGCCAAGAUACUACUUCAAGUUUACUGACUUUUCACAUGUUCUCUCCCCAGGAAAAGGUUCACAGAUUUCUACAGGUUUGCACAAACCCUUGCAUUUUUUGCCAAGCUUAUGCACUUCCCUUUUUUACAAUUAAAUAUCCAUGCAAUAUUAACAUUUGUAAUCCAUGUUUUCAUCAAGAUGUUCUGGGAAGGAUCAAAGCUACUCAACCGCUUGAACAAGUUUUGGUUUGAGGGAAAACAAUGGAGAACAAGAGGGAGUUUAUACUUUAUAACACAAGGUUGAGUCCAUAACUUCACCCAAUGUUUUCUAAGCUUUGCUCCUUCUAAACUAAGCUCUCUUGGCUUCUUUUAAAAGGGGUGAUGAGAUGCACAUGACUCUGUGGGGCGACAACACAAGGAAUUUUGAUGAAGCCACUCUUCAAACACUCCAAUCCCCCAUCACAUUAAUUGCUUUCGCUGGUUUUUGUGUCACCGAGUACCAAGGUCAGAUUUCAAGUUCAUAACCUGAUAUUAUCUUAUAAUAUAGAUGUUCAUAUUAUAUUAGCUUUCUAUUCCUAAAUGUUCAACCAAUAUUUUUAAAGUCAUGUUUUAUCUUGGAAAAUGACUUUACAUCACUGCACUUUAUAUUUUCACCUGUUGUUUUGUUUACAUUCAGGCAGGCAAAACCUUAAUGGAUCAACUGCUUCUAUUUGGUACUUUAAUCCAGACACUCAUGAAGCAUUGGCUUAUUACCAUUAGUACGUUCCUUCAUCCUUCAUCAAUCUAUUUGCAUUCAAAGCAUACUUAUUCAACUUUCUUCAUUUGCCAAACCAACUUAACAUGGAAACUUUCUAAUCAGCUUUGGUAAGCUACCUGUUAAGGUUUACCAACUACCCUCAUCAUCCAAUGUUGUUUUAUCACUUGUAAAACAUAUGAAUGAGAACAAGAAAACAAUCAAGGAGAUUCUUUGCAUGAACCCAUAUGAACACAAGGUUAACUUUCUUUCUUUGAGCUUUAAUCUCUUUGGACAUGACACCAAACUUGUAACAUUAUUCACCAUGCUUCAUAUCACUGUACUUCACUCAUGCUUUUUUUCCAAACAACACACGUUUAAAGUGGCUCGACCUGUCUCUUACAGGAUAUGAGGUCCACAUGCCACACAUCUAUAGCAGACUAUGAUAUUUUCAAUGGAUGGUGGUAUCCGAGUUGUCCUUGCUGCAACAAAAAGCUUGGUGGCACCAAGACAAAUCCAGUAUGCAUGGAUCAUGAUGCCAUAACAUCGUUACCGAUGCCAUGGUAAGUUGCAUAUAAAUAGAAUAUGCCGCCACUCUUGCAAAGAAUUACAUUUGUUUAUCUACCGAAACGCUUCAAACAUAUGCUCAUCUACUGGUUCUUAAACUUCUAUAAAAUCUUGGCAGGUUUUGAUUUGACUGUGUUGCCGCUGACGAGGAAGAUGUUACUAACUCUCUUAUAGUUGGUUGGUUAUCGCACAUCAUUAUGUUUACUGUAGAGAAUUUAAUGACCCCAUGAUUAUUGCACCACCGAUGGCAAGUAAGCUCAACAAGGCAUAUAUUUUUCAGCUGUGGUUUGGGGCUUUCAGAUCAACAACCAAUCGCUGCGAGAUUAUUGUGCUAAAUUACAUUAACAUUAACAUCGUACUGCUAACUUUUUUGGCAGAUCACGUUGUUUUAAAGCUAUUUGAUUUUAAGGACCUAGCAACCUUAAAUAUUUAUAUUUUAAUACUGUCAAUAUUAGCAUUUUUCUUUUUUACAAAAGCAGAAAAAUGAAUUUUCCUCUCAUAAUUUCUUUGUUUUCAUCAUGUAUUGUCCUUUCACCUAUCUUUUCUUCCCUUUAACACCUUUACAUUAUGAUUACAUUUACAUUCUCAUUAGAUUAAUUUACCUACAACAUCAUUUAGACAACUUAUUAUGCAUCAAAUUUUUCAUUUCCAUCAAAUUUGAGGUGAUGACAUUUUGCCAUUGUCAAUGUAGCAGAUCUGCGUUCAUUUAAUGCAGUUUUCAUGCUGCAGAUGCUAUGUUGCCAACACAAACAUGAUGGUUUUCUAUGCAUAUCUUGGACCGUUUCCGUGAUGCAAGAUAAUCGAUUCCAUACCACCAUGUGUAUGAUAAUUAUAGCCAGCAGGCACUAAUCACUAUGUGUUCAAGCUACUGCUCAAUCGAUGACAGCUCUAUCAUCACUUUUGCUAAAGAAGCUGAGAGUUCCUUUCUUUACUUGCAUAUGCUUUUGUUUAGACCUUUUGUGUUUGACUUUAUCAUUUUCGCCCUUUUUUUAGUGCAGGGACACACAAUCAUGUUGUUAAUAUUUCCUUUCUAAUUGUCAAAGUGGCUGCAACAUGCACUAAUGAUCUUCCACCUGUCUUUUGCCUUGCAAUUUCAACUUCUAGAUCUGUCAUGUUCUUACAAGAAUCGUUUCACGUUGUUAUUCCUUUCUAAUUGUCAAAGUGGCUGCAACAUGCACUAAUGAUCUUCCAUCUGUCUUUUGCCUUGAAAUUUCAACUUCUAGAUCUGUCAUGUUCUUACAAGAAUCGUUUCAUGUUGUUAUCCUUAGAAAAAUGCCCACCUAGUCUAAUCUAAAAUAAAACUUUUUUUGUUAAAAUCAAAUGUAAAAAAACAACUUAAAUCAAUUCGCAAAAGUCAUGGCAAACACAACCCAAUAAAGCUUAUAGACAAAGUUAAGUCUAGGAAAAGCGUUUCUAUGUAAAAGGGAUACGCACUGAUGAUAUCAAGGGAUCGCCAUUUAUCAUGCCUGGACAUUUUAUCUGUCAUUACUAAAGUUAAGGGGACACAAAAUAAACAAGAAACUAUCAGAAAGCUCUGAAUCUAACUCUCACAUUCUUGAUAACAGUGAACUUGCUGCUAUACAAAAUCUUUAAUGCAAUUAGGAUUUCAAUGGCAGGGAGGGAGCACUUUCAAUUGCAAAGGAAUAUGAUCCAUGAAACAUGAUGGGUUGAAUCAACUAUACAACAAAACACACACACACACGAGUAUAGGUUAACGGUGAAGAAAGAUGGCACAUUACAUGCAUAUCUUUCCUCAAAUGUUGAAUUAACCACAUUUUGCUUGCCAUGCCUACUUGAGUUUUAUGAGCAAAUAAUGGUGGAUAAAAUUAAAAGAAACCAAAAAGGGAGUAGAAUUAAUGUAAUGUUUUUUUUUUUUAAUGUAGGUGUUUGGGCUACCUCGACUAAUUUCACGGGCCCUGAAGUUAACGAUCAGGUAAGUCUCUAAUAGCCAUGAGAUUUAUAAAAUUCAAACUGAUAAUCUCAAAAAACAAAUUUAAAAUUUAACUAAUAAGCUAUACCCUGAAACUUUUUUUGAUUAAUGUAAUGUUUCUGUUUGUUGCUUUAGACUUGUAGUCACUGUUGAUUGAAACAGAUGAUUUUAACCUUAUCGACAAAACAUAAAUGGCCUUGGAAGUGGGGGUAAAGUAAUCUUUUUGUUGUUUUGUGCACAUUUAUAUAAUCUUACAGGAAAAAAUUAGUAAGAUGGCGGGCAGGGGUACUUUUUAUUUUUGUUUUUUAUUUAUUUUAAUUGCAUAGUAAAAUUAUCGCAAUAUCCUUGAAUUAAAUUUGUUUUUGCCCUGGGUCAAAGGGUUUUUAUGUGUUUUCUAUUUAUUUUUUCAUUAUAAAAUAUGAUAAAGGGAAAUUUAAUAUUUUACCAUAAAUAAAAUAAUAAUUAAUUCUAAAAAGUAGUUGCGCAUGAAUGCUCCUAGAUAUUUUUUCAAUGCCUAUGACAUCAUCCGACAAGCAAAAUCCAGCUUUCACGAUAUCAUUUUAUUCCUUACGAUAUUGUCUCCAUUAACUAGUGGUGCAUGUACAAAAAAAAAAAUAUCAGGUUUUGUUCCGCUGGACAUUUCUUUUAUUCCUUUCUCUUCCUUGGUUUUAUAGCCUUCCCUGUACAUUUUCAAAACAUCCUUUUAAUUUUUUUUUCUUUUAGAUUUGAUUAUUAUUUUUUUAUUGUUAUUUUUUAAUUUUAAAUAACAUAUUGAAUUGUAUUGGAGUUUUCUUUCAAUUUAAGAUCAUUUGAAUUUUUAUACCUUUCAGAUUUAGUCCUUAUUAUUUUGAUUAUUAAAUUUUUUAAUCAUUCUCUUAAUUAAAUUAUUUUUUAAUUACAUCCUUUAAUAUUUUAUAUCUUUCUCUUAAUUGAAUUAUUUCUUCAAUUGCAUCCCUCGAUAUCUUAGUUCAUUUUAUUUUAUGUUAGAUUUAGUUCUUAUUCUUUUGAUUACUAUUUGUUUUGUUUAUAUUUUUUUUAUUGGAACUUUUUUUUUUCAAUUUCAUCCCUCAUCAUUUUAUUUAUCGGGAUUUUGUUAACUUUUCGGGUCACGAGUUUGAAAGAUUGGACCGAGUUUGCUUAGAUCUUUUUUUUUCAUAUCCUUUUUUAUGAUUGAUUUUUUCCAAUUCCAUCAUUCUAUGAGAUUGUCUCGACUUCAUGUACAAGAUCACAAGUUUUGCGUGUUAACCCAACUUGACCUGGCCUAAUUUUUAUUUUUUGUUGUUGUUGAUACCUAUUUUUAUCAUAUUAUCGAAUUAAUCGAGGUUUAACCUGACUUUCAGAUUUCACUUGCUUAUUUAAAAGUGCUACUAUUGGCUAAAUAUUUUUUUACAUGAUAAAAAGAAUUUGGUACAGCCCAUAGCUUUACAUACAAAAAAUACUAAAAAAGCUCAGUGUUUUCUUGUAACCCCUCUCACAAUUAACUGUGGAUUCACACAAUGAAUUUACCAAAUUGUCCUUGGAAGAGAGAAACACAAAGGCUGGCUUUAGGGGUGUUUUUAGACUUUUACACGGGAUAUAUUUGGUAUUGUAGAAUUGAUGAGGGGCAUAUGUGCCUUUAUCUCUUUUGAUUGCACAAUGUAAAAUCCUAAAAACCAUUGGAAGCAGACUUUCAGUUUGCUUUGGGAGAGGGGUUUUUCGGUGUUUUUUUUUUAGCACAGCGAGAUUAUUAAAAUAUCCUUGGAUUUUAAAACAAAUGCUUUUGACUUUAGAGGUACUGGCGUCUUUCGCACUUCAAUUGUUUUGUAAAUUUCGUGUGGGGUUAGGGGUGUUUUGGUAUUUAUAUAAAAAAAGUUGUUGGCGUGUGAUAAGAACGCGUCAACGUGUGGAGGUUGUCCACGCUAUUUAGGCGGCACGUGACACCUUCGAUAUCCAAAAAUACCCAACCGUCAUCUCAGGCGAAGCGUCUUCUUGACCUAUGUGUGUUGUUAUAAGUGUCGCCGUUAGGUGACAACUAGAUUUCUUUUUCUUCACCUUGUUUUCUCUCUCCUUUACCCACCCAAAGUUAUUUCAAUUGCGGUUAUUUCAAUUGCGGUCCUUAUAUUAUUUUAUUGUUCUGUAUUUGCUUUAAAUUCUUUUUAUGAUUUGUUUUUAAUUUUAUCCUUUAUCAUUUUAUUUUAUUUUUAUUUUUAUGUUAGAUUUGGUUCUCUUUCUUUUAAUUGAUAUUUAUUUUGCUUUUCAUCCUUCUUCUAAUUGAUUUUCUUUUCAAUUUCAUACAUGAUUUUUUUUAUUUGAUCCCCAUUCUUUUAAUUAUAAUUUCUUCUGGUUUCAUUUAUAUUCUUGAUUGAUUUUUUUUUUCAGAUUCAUCCCUCAUUGUUUGAUUUUAUUUGAUUUUAAUGCCAAGUUCGAUCCUUAUUUUUUCAAUCCUGGUUUUUAAACCCAAUUCAGGGGUUGACCUCGGGCAAGUUCUAGGUCACAGAUAUAGUGAGUUGAUCAAGGUUACCUAGAUCAACUUAGCCUAAAUUUUUUUUUCAAGUUUUUAAAAAAAAUUACAAAGAAGUUGCAUCCUCAUUUUCUUAAUUAUGGUUCUUAAACCCGGCUCUGAGGUCGACUUUGGGCAAGUUCGGGGUUACAGGUCGAGUGAGUGGCCAGUGUUACCUGGGCAACAAAUUUUUUAUUUUAAAAAUAUCUAAAAAUGAUAUUAUUUUGGUCAAAAGUUUACAAAAAAAAAUUCAAUGGGUUUUAAGACAGGUUUUUUUAAAAAUUAAAAAGAAUUUAACGAACAAAAUUUGGUCCUUAUUUUUUUUUUAUCAUGGUUUUUAGACUUAGCUCGGGGGUUGACCCGAAGCAACUCUUGGGUCACAAGUCGAGUAAGUUGACUAGGGUUGUCUGGAUCGACUGAUUUUUUUUUAUUAUGCAAGAAUGUCAAAAUUAUAUAUAUUUUUUAUAAAUAUUUAACAAAUAAAAUCAACGAGUUUUGAAAAAAUUUAACAAAAAAAUUUAGUCAUUUCUUUGAUCGUGAUUUUUAAUUAAUUUUUUUUCUUGGUUUCAUCUAUUGGUAUUUAGUUUAUUGAAAAUUUUACUUCAUAAUUUUUUCAGGUUUGCCUUCUAUAAUGUGGUGUCGGCCUCAUAACCGGGGUUAUGAGUUUAGAAAGUUAGUUUUAGUGGACUUUUAUUUUUUAGCAUAUUUUUUUUAAAUUUAAUUUUUCAAUAUUUGGUUUGUUACAAAUUAGCUUUUGUUAUUUUUUCUAUUUUUUUUAGAGUUAUCCCAAUCUCAUAUCUCGAGUCGCGGAUUUGAUGGAUUAACUCAGAUAUUUUUUUGUUAUCACUUUUUUCUUGAUAUCCUAGAUAUCAAUUUUUAUUAAUUCAAUUUAUUUAUUCUUAUUUUUUAAAAAAAUAUUAUAAGAUUAGCUGAGAUUAUUACACCAAUCAACUUAAUAAUCAGCUCGGCCCACAAAAUAUCAGUGCCAUCUAGUCUACACUAUACCUCAUCCACAAGAGCUUCUGAAUAUUACAUAUGGCAAAAAUACAUAAAUUAUAGACAACUCUCACCUGGGACACAUGAAGCCUAUAAACUGCUAUGCACUAUGCACUAUGCACUAUGCACUAUGCAAGGAAGGAAAGAGAAAAAAGGUUAAAAAAAAAAACUACAAAGCAGCAGGGCAUCAUAUAGUGAUUGCUUUCUCAAAUCAAAGUUUUCUUAGAGUAUUUAUGGUGUCAGUACCUAGAAAAUGUAGUGCAAGAUCAUAGGUGCUGAUACUAAGGAAGUUUGGAAUGGUAGAGAAUAGCAUGAUGGCAUCUACAUUAGGGUAUCCUAUUUCCACUUCAGUAAGUCAAUCACGGCAAAACUUGCAUCUAAGCAUAGAACUUCAUCUAAAUAAGAAGUUGUCGGGUGGGGUCUCCUCAUAGCCUGAGUGUUUGGGCAGAAGAACAUGGUGAGAUUGCAGCGGAUGUAAGAUUGACAAGCCCUGAAGUUUGAAAUCAGUUUUUCAUCUCGUCUACUGAUGCAGUACUUCUCAACACAUCAUCUUCCUAUGGGAAUCCUUGAAUCUUGGCAAACCUCAACCUUUCAUUCCUUAGUUUCUCACAAUCCAUCUAGCAAGAUAUUGAGGUAGAAAUAUAGAAAUUGCAUUUACUUUGCCUCUAUAAACAUAUCUGGGAAAAAGAAAAGAAGGGUCUUGUUUAUGAUCAUUUCCAAUAUUAAGCUUUUGCUUCACAACCUUUCAUUUCUUUAAACUAAAAGGGUAAACCAGUGACUAGUUAAUGAAAAGAAAGAUAACCUCAAAUCUUCCAUAGAAGAAUGCUGAGAUUUCCAAAGGCAUGACAUCCUCAACUCCCCAAAAUAAGCAUCAACUAAAUAAUGUAUAAAAAGACACCCCAGAUCUCCCAAAAACUAGGCUAAGAAUUUCAUUAAUAUAGCAGAUCAAAACAUGAUUCUCUUGAAUUUACAUAUACAACCAAGAAAAUCCCAAAGGGAUACAAAAUCAAGAAAUGCAGUAGCUGAUUACCAAUUCCACAAGAUCAUGUCAAUUACACUAUUUUCUUCUAAUUGUUAAUGUCCUUGACGCUUCUUGCACACCUUGUAAUGACCUCACAGCCUCUGUUAUAAGGAUGAGCCUGUCUAGCAUUGCAGUCAUAGUAUGAUGCUCCUGGUUUAUCACAGGGAACCAAGUCCCUCCUCAGUGUCUCAUAACUUAUGUACUUCUUGUGCAUCAGCAACACUCUCCUGCUGAUCUCUGACUCCAUUUCUGACUCUUCAAAGCACUCUCCAAUUUUCUCUGAGCAACCCUUACUGACAAUGGCAUCAAUCUCACUGGUUUUCAGUGAAUUGAGGCCUGAAACUGAAUCAGCAUUGCAAAUUGUGAAAAGGGUGAGGAGGAAAAGCAGUGAAAGGUAGAGUAGUGUGGGAGUAUGAGGGAAAAGCUGGUGUUCGGACAUUUCUUUUUGGUUUUCUUGAAUUGGUUGGAGUUAAUGUUUUCUUCUGGGUUAAAUUUUCCUGUGGAGGCGUGUGAAAGUGAGAUUUCAUGUGGAUGGAAGGGUCAUUACGUGGGACAAGACAUUCAAAUAGUUCCCUUCACAUGUGUUGAGCAAUGUUGAUUUGGCUUCCACUUGCAUAUUUGUGUCAGUUUAUCCUGCACAGGAGAUCAUAAUCACUGACCACUUGACAAUUAAAGUCCAUUGUUGUUGUGAUAGCUCAAAAGGGAUUGUUUGGAAUUGUAAUUUUAUUUUUCCUUACAUCUAGAGUAUGUUUAAUAUUAUAAUAAUUUUUUUAUUGUGUUAUGAGAAAAAUAAGUUUUACAAAAUUAUUUUUAGUUGUGAUUAAUUUAAUUAAAAUAUGUAUUUGAUUAAAAUUAUAGUUGAAGUUGUUGUCCAUAAAAACAAUGUUUAAUAUGUUUAGUUAAAAAUAAAGUUAAAAUUGAUGUUGAUAAUAAAAUGAACAAAAAAAACAUGUAGUAAUUUUUUAUUUUGCAAUUAUAUUUAUGUGCAUUUGAUUAUUAAUGCAUUGUAAAAAUAGUCAUGUGAAUUACAAUGCUGGUUUUAUUGUUUCAUUAAAUUUACUAUAAUUUCAUCAUGAAUAUAAUCCAUACACGAAGAAUUAUAUAUUUCAUUGUGAUGUACUUGUUACUUAACUACAAAAAUAAGAGCAAUUAAAUUCAUCCAUAUGUUUUAUUCUACUUUAUCAUUCAAUAAAUUAAUAUGAGUAUGAAUAUCGAUAUAAUUUCUUAAAAGACAAUGAUUAUCAAAGAGCAAAUCUAUACAUUUCUUGUUCACGAAUCAAUAACCUCAAAGCUAAAAAAACAAAACCCAUAAAUUUUUUAAGCUAAAAAACAAGUUUGAAGUUGAAAAGAAAAUGAUUUCAUAUAGUUGCAAUCUAAGCUUUGUAAUCUACAUCUCAUCAACAAAUUCAUUCAAACUCACCAAAAAAUUAGUCUUUUGCUGCUGGCGUCAAGCACACUUAAUGUAGAUCUGUGCAAAUACAAACUCUCCAAACUCUUAGAGAUAAUUUGUAGCUCUUUUGUUCGUACGGUUGUUUCUUCAACUAAGGAAAAUUUCAAAGGUUGUUUUGGUCUAUGUGUUUUUUCAAUAGUAAAAAAGAAGCAGGUAAAAGAAAAGGCAAGAGAAGUGGUUCACUAGGAACAUGUAAAAGUUUCUUCAUUAAAAACUAAGGUCAAACCUUUUUUAUUGAUGGGUCUUAUGAACCAAAUCACAAGUUUAUUUUGUAACGAAAUAGUAUAUAAUUAAGGUGGGGUAAAAAAAACAGCUCCCACAAAAAUAAACGGUCACUUACAAGGAAUGUCGAGUUAAGAAAUAUUUUUUUAUGGUAUUUUUUAGGCUAAUAUGAUCAAAGAAGCUUUAAAAACAUUUAAAAGUAAAUCUAAACCUUUUUUUCAAAGAUUAUAGUAUAAUUUCAAUGAUUAUUAGAUCUCCCAUCAGGAAAAAAAUACAUAAUAAGAUAUGUUGGGAUUUUGUAUAGCAAAGAAAAUGACUCAGAUUUGAGCCAAUAUCUAAUUAAUUUUAGUGUUUAUAUUUUAUUUGUAGUUAUUUUUUUUACUAUUCUAUCUCAUAAGAAUCAAGUUUACAACUAUAAUAAUUAAACCUUUUUUAAAAAAUUAUUUCAAGAAAUGUUCUAACAAAAAACAUUUUACAGAAAGUUGUGAAAAAUAAAAAUUAACUUGUUAUGUACUAAUUAUAUCGAAUUUGAUCUUUAAUCUUUUGAAUGCUAUAUAUUUUAUUUUGAAUCUUUUUUUUUUCAAUUUCAUCCCAUAGAAUUUGAUUUAAUUUGAUUUUUAUACCAACUUUGAUCCUUAUUUUUUUAAUUGAGAUUUUUUAUCUACUAGAUUUGAUCCCCAUUCUUUUUAUUGCUAUUUAUUUUAUUUGAAAUAAUUUAUGAAUUUUUUUUCAAUUUCAUUCUCUUUAAUUUUUUUAUCUGUCAGAUUUAGUUUUCAUUAUUUUCAUUAUUAUUUGUUUUAUUUGAAAUAAUUUAUUAAAUUAGAUUAUGUUUUUUAAUUUCAUCCUCCUUCAACUAUUUUAUCUGUCAGAUUUGGUCUCUAUUUUUUUUAAUAAACUUGAAAAAUAUAAAACAUUAAUAAGUUAUUUUUCAGCUUAUUUUUCAUGACAUAUUCAAAUACUAGAAAAUAUUUUUCAACUUACUUUUCAUUACACUACCAGACAUAAAAAAUUAAUUUACUUUCUAUAAAAAAUACUUUAAAAAAACUACUUUCCUAUGUGGUGAAUUUGUUUAUUCCUAGUCUUGAUAUUUUAGAUUUUUUGAAUUCCAGAAAAUAAAAUAGGCUAAAAGUUUCAUGUUAAUUACAAGAAACUAAAAGAUGUGGGGAAAUCUUUGUAUAUAUGCUUAACUUUACUAUGGAUUAUAAUAGUGAAUUGAUAAUUUUGCUAUUGAUAAAAAAAUCAAUAGAACUGGCAUUGGAAGGUAAAAUAAUAUUUCAUGGGGUUUAUUUGUAAUUUUAUAUUUGUUAAGGGGCUCCUCGGUCUUCUCUCUUGUUUUUUGCACAGUAAAUUACUUGAUAACCUUAAAAGCAAAAAAAAAAAAAAAACUUGCGUGUGCCCUACGAGCAUCUCGAUCUCUUGAUUUUUUUAAGCACAAUAUAAUGAUCCAAUUGACCUUAGAAUCAAAAUUCUCAAAGCAUGGUUUUAGUGGCUUUUACAUCAUUUUAUAAAGGUUUUUUCAUAGUAAUUAUUUGGUGCUAGGGGUAAUGUGUUAAUUUGAUAACUAAAAAAAAAAAGAGUUGUUGAUGCAUGCAUCAGUCGCUCCACUGCCUUCUGACGAUGCAUGCAGCUCAUUCUGAUGGUUAAAAACUGUUGUUCGCCAUGUCAACCCCACGACGUCCUCUUACUCAUGCGAUGAUGCGUAUAUGUUGUUUUUCAGCAAGUUGUUGCCGAUAAUGUUUUUCUUUUUGCCCCAUUCUCUCUCAUUCAUUGAAAUUUGCGAUGAUCAUUUAAAAUUUCAAGGUAGUCUCCUUAGUUGCACGUAUUUAAGUGUUGAUCCUUAUUUUUUUUUUUGUAUGUUUUUUCCUUGGCCCUCCUGUAGGUUUUUUUUUUAAAAAAGAAUUCGCUAUUCAAUCUAUAUUUAUUAUUUUUUGUUUCUUCAAUUUUGGUUAUAAUUCUUUUUAUUUCUUAUUUUAUUUCUUAUCCCUUUAGUGAACAUUCAAUUGCUUUCAAUCUCGUCUUUUGAUAAAACAAAAACUAAUUUUUAUUUUGUUUUAACUUAGUUCUCAUUCUUUUAGUGAUUUCUUCUUUUAAUUAUUUUGUGAAUUUGGUUUUUCUUCUCAAUUCAACCCUUCAAUCUGAAAUUAUCCAUCCUCUCAUUUGUUUUUUUUCUUCAAAAUUCAUCUUUGUUCAUUUAAUUGCUAUUCUUUUUUUUAUAUCAUUUUGUAUAUAUAUUUUUUUCAAUUUCAUCAUUUAACAUUUGAUUUAUUGAAAAUUAGGCUUUGUAGUUUUUUAAGUCUUGGUACUUAUGAUCAAAUAGCUCGAGUCACGAGUUUUAUAAACUACCAUGGGUUGAUAUCAAUUUUUUUACUUAUUUUCUUUUUUGAGCUCAUUACUUAGCAUUGAUCUUUUUUUUUUUACGAAGUAAGCUUCAUGGUUUUCUUUAUUUUCCUUUCUAUCAGGUUGUCUGAUCUCAUAAACUGACUUGUGAGUUUUGCGUGUUGACCCGAGUGGACUUAAGCCUUUUUUGGCUUAUAAUUGCUAAAAAAUUAUCCCUUUGUAUGAAUGAUUUUUUUUUUCAAUUUUAUCUUUUAACAUUUGAUUAGUUGAAAAUUAGGCUUCAAUGGUUUUUAAAUUUGGUGCCUCUAGUCAAAUAACUUGGGUCACGAACUUAAUAGGUUAGCAUGAGUUGUCAUCGUUUUUUUUUUAUUAUUAUUAUUUGGGUUGAGAAUUUAACUUCUUGAUUGAACCUGGAUUUCAGAUUUCAUAGGUUUCGAUUUGGAAAUAUUAAAUUUGGGUUUUUUUUUUUUUAUGUUAUCAAGUUAUUUUAACUUAUUGAACUCAAUCAACUAAAUUUUUUUUACUUAUUUAGAAAUCCUAGCGUCACCUUAACUUUUUUCUUCUUAAGUCCAAAACAAUUCGGGUUAGCGCGUGAUGUUAUGCCGAUCAUCUAUAUAAGUUUACCUAGGUCACUUUUUGUCAUUUUUUAAAAUUCUUUUUACUUUCAGCCUUCAAUAUUUGGUUUAUUAUAAUUAGACUUUUUAAUUUGUUUCGAUGUGGGUCUAUAAUUUUAUCAUGAUCUCACACUUUAAUCGUGAUUUUCAUAGGUUAACUAUUGUUACCUUGGAUCGAUCCAAUGUGUUGUCAUCUCAAUAUUUUCUUCAAAAAAUAUGUCAACCAAUAUGUUACAAUUUAAGUAUUCUAAAAGUAUUUCGACCAUUAUGCAUCAAAUUUUUGACUUUAUAAUGUCUUAAUGAUUUUUCGGCCGAAAAAAAAUGACCAGCGGUGUUAUGAGGACUAAAAAGUUAGUUGAUAUCUAAUGAUGGAUAUCUAUUUCAGAUAUUGGUGGGGAAAAAAUAAUAUUGAUACACAAAAUAUAAUAAUGAUAAAAUUCAGCCUUGCUAGUCAAUCCGGUUACUCACCGAUUUAGAGGUUAGUCUAGACCGAGUUUCAUUUCAAUUUGAUUUUUUUCUUUGUCAAAACAAUGUUGUUUGUCUUUUAGAAAAAAAAAAACAGAAAUGGUGCUGAUUAAUUUUUUAAAAAAUUUAAAUGAUAUUAUUUUGGUUAAAAAAUUGGAUUGGUCUACAAACCUAACUUUGAGUCGAGUCAAACCAUUGCAUCUUAUAACCAUGCACAAAGAUAACCUAUGAAAGUCUUAACGUUAAAAUCAAAUGAAAGAAUUCAUAGCAAACGAGAACCCCUGAUGAGCAUCAAACUAGCAACCACAUCCUUGGACUAACUCUUUAUUUUGAAACAAAUAGGAGCUCAGAAUAGCAAGUAGAAAAAAUAUAGCAAUACACUGUAAGAAGAAGAAAAAAAAUGAUACCACCAUUAAUAUAAAAAUAUUGAAUUUAAUGGCAUUAAAAAAAGUUAUUCAUAGUAAUUUAAUGGCAUUAAAAAAACUUCAAUAUUAAAAAAUAUUGAAGUUAAACUGUUAUUUUUUAAAAUAUUUUUUUUUCCUGAGUUAGUAAAAAAAUAACUCGUGAAGUUUAAGGUCAUGUUUGUUUCCCGGAAAAUAGUUUCCGGGAAAUCACUUUCCAAACUUUCAUGUGUUUGUUUGUCAUUAGGAAAGUUGGUCAACGAAAAACACUUUCCGGUCAAAGAAAAAUUUGGUUUGGUUUCCAGGAAAGUGUUUUUCCUUUUGGCUGUGUUUGUUUUCCGGAAAGUGGUUUCCGGGAAAUCAUUUUUCAAACUUUCAUGUGUUUGUUUGCAUUUAGGAAAGUUGCUCAACGGAAAACACUUUCCAGUCAAAGGAAAAUUUGGCUUGGUUUUCAGGAAAAUGUUUUCCUGAAAAAUUUGGGCGGAAAACACUUUCCGAAAGUUGUGAAAAAUUUAAAAAUGUCAUUAUUUGCUGAUUAUAUCAAAUUUGAUCUUCAAACUUUUGAUUACUAUAUAUAAUUUGUUUUGAAUAUUUAUUUUUCAAUUUCAUCUCUUAAAAUUUAAUUUUUAUAUUAAUUUUGUUUCUUAUUUUUAUAAUUGUUAUUUGCUUUUUUCUUAUCAUUAUUUUAUUGAAAUUUUUUAUCUAUCAAAUUUGAUCCUCAUUCUUUUGAUUGUUACUUAUUUUAUUUGAAAUAAUUUAUGAAAUGUUAAUUAUUAUUAUUUUAAUUUCUUCAUCUUUUUUUUUUUAAUUUUUUAGAUUUUAUCUCUAUUAUUUUGAUUAUUAUUUAUUUUAUUUGAGAUAAUUUAUGAAAUUAUAUUUUUUUUCAAUUUCAUUCCCAUUCAACUUUUUAAUUUGUAAGAUUUAUUUCUCAUUAUUUUAAUAAACUUGAGAAAAAUAAAACAUUAAUAAAUUAUUUUCCAGCUCAUUUUUCAUGACAUAACUAAACACUGAAAAAUGUUUUCUAACUUAUUUUUCAUUACACUGUCAAAUCUCAAAAUUUAUUUUUUUAGAAUUUAUUUUCUUUGCAGUUCACUUUUUUUAAAAAAUAUUUUUUAGCAAAUAAACGAAUUAUAAAAGGGUUUUAAGUAGUUUCGUUCAAAGCACUGAUAAGGCAAAUGAACCCAUUAAAUUCUACCGAGAAGAUGAUUUGAUUGCUUAAAGACAGAAGCCAAUGAGUCAGAGGUCACAGACAUACAACUAUUUGUUUUUUUUUACAAAAGUAUUUAAAAAAAAUUUAAAUAUUUUUAUAUCGUUUUAAAAUACUAAUGUUAAAAAUAAUUAUUAUAAAAUAAUAAAAUAUUAUUUUAAUAUAUUUUUAAAUAAAAAAUACUUUAAAAAACUUCAAAAAUCAUCUAAUAAAGCUGCAUGGCCAUUAUUUAGUUUGGGGGUAUAAUGAGAGGGACCAAGCCACCGUCACCCCUUGAGUAAACUUUAUUGCAAAGUUUUGUCGUCAAUACAUUGAACCCUCUCAGCUGCUAUAAUUAUUCUAGCUAGCUAGGAGCUAGCUAGUGUGUACUUUUGCUUUUCUGCCUCUCUAGGAACAAGUUUUGACUUUCGUGCCUCGGACUGCACUUGCACUGGUGUACAGUCAAAUGUUUGCUUGGGCCUCAGCACAUCUCAUUUCUAGAACACAAUAUUUGGAUUCGCAGAUUCUACAGGUUUUUUUUUUAAAAAAACAAUAUUAAAUUAAUAUUUUUUAAGUUAUUUAUUUUUUAUAGUUUUGAUAUUCUCAUGAAAAAAAUAAAAUAAUUUUUUUAAAAUAUAUAUUUUUUAAUUUAUUUUUAAUUAAAAACACUUUUAAAAAUACAUGACAACCAAUUUGAAAAAAAGCAUGAUUUUUAACUAAAUCACUAAAAAUCUUGAUCGGUUUUUGAGAAUCCAGACAGUUUCGAAGUUUAAAGUUCUGAGGUUAGUAAGUACACUCUGCAAGGUUUAACAAAAGCCAACAAAAGGCACAUUCGAAGAGUCCAAAGCCCAGACAGCAAGACAUGCUUUUGGUUCUUUCAACUUGGAUAGGAGAACACUCAAGCUUUGGAUGUUAUAUAUAGGAUUGAUUAUGGCAAUGCAGGAUUUUACGAAUAGGACUAGCUUCUUGCCAUGGAUCGACAUUCUAUCGUCGUGACAAACCACAUUCAAUAUAGAAAUUCUAUGGUCUCUAGGGCUUCCAUAUAUGUGCAUUUACGUGUUAACUGCCCCACUUUAUAGGAUUGAGGCAACUCAAAUUCAUUGGCCCCUUUCUGUUCUAUUUUUCUUCAUAUGGUGCUCCUUGACAAGAAUUCUGCACAGAGGAGGUAUAGAUGGUUCUAUGUAGAGGUUGAAGUUAAAAACUGAACAUCCAAAACAGUUGUAAUGCAAUUGUUAAAGUGGCAUGAUUGCAUUAUAUAAUUUGGGCCUUUUUCUUCAACGAUAUCCUCAAUACUUGCUGUCCAUAUUAGGGUUUGUUUUUUUUUUGCGUGUGCAUGUGAUGCCAUGACACUACCUUUAACACAAGGAUCAACAACCCACUAAAUUUAGUUUCUCUAGGUGGGCAAUUGCAUUGGGGGGGCUAUCAUUGCAUACCAUUAAGAAUUCCCAGCUGGGGGAUUGACCACGUACCUAACAGAGUAUAUGGAAUGAACUUAUCUUUCAACGUGUAACAUCAUCACAUGUGUAGAAAAGUUUAGAGGAUUGCAAUUGCAGCACCCAAGUUCACACCACCAACGAAAGUACUAGACAACAUCACAUGUGUAGAAAAGUUUAGAAGAUUGCAAUUGCAGCACCCAAGUUCACACCACCAACGAAAGUACUAGACAAAGAGAUUUUGAAUAAAUCAACGAACUUGUAGAAGUGAUGCCAGCUUUCUUUACACCACCAACGAAAGUACUAGACAAAGAGAUUUUGAAUAAAUCAACGAACUUGUAGAAGUGAUGCCAGCUUUCUUUAUGACAAGCAGCAAUUUGAGGCAUUCAGCUUUCGAAGGUUUCCUGUAAUAACAUAUAGAGAAUUCCCUGUUCCUAGGCUUUUUCUGGUCACAAAGAAAACGAUAUUGCAACAACAGUACCAACUGUAAAGAACACCGUAUCAUGAUGCAUGACAAAACUUACAGCGCUAGAAAUAUCCUUCUUAGAAACAGCAUCAUCAGGGCUCUCUGACUCUGCUUUAAGCUUUGGUGCCGGUGCAGGUGCCGGUGGUGGAGGUUUAGGGGUAAAUAUAUCCAAAGGAAGGAGCACCUUGUCAACCUGAUAAAUAGCAAGAUGGGUGUCCGUGUAUACAGUGUCGGAAAUGGUGGUGUUGGUAAGUCCUGUAGAUAUGUUCAAGGAGUUCCCACUGGCGGUAACGUUAAGCUGAAACCUAGCACCAGAUCCAGCGUGUGUUUUUAAAGGGCUACUCACGGUAUCAAAUUGGGAAGAUGAGAUGAACAUAGGGACAAUGUGAAACUGCAUCAACUCGACCUUUUCUUGAUCAGUUAAGGUGCGGAGAGUGCCUGUUUUAAGGGCUGAAAAUGCACUAUCACUUGGAGCAAAGAUGGUCAAGCCAUUGUUUGUGUUGCCAAGCUGGGAGUUUAGAUUGCUAUCCAAUUGAGUGGAUUUCAAAAGGCGGAUGAAGGUCUUGAAGUGGCCAGCCUUUUUGAGUAUUUUGAUGACAUUAGUGGGGCCGGGUGGUGCAGGAGCGGGCGCAGGUGAUUGAGCUGUGGUUGUGGUUAAAUUGAUGGAGAGAAUAAGCAGAUAUAAUGAGAUCAAGAGGUGUUGUAAUCGUUCCAUCUUUUCAAUAUUGUUUCCAAGUAGUGGUGACCUGUUUUGUUUGCAAAAUGUAAAUGCGGGAGUGCUGCUCUGCACAAGUGUUAGAUUUACAAAGAGAGGCCUUUUAUAAUGGAGAGGACCGAGGAGAAAACGAAGUUAGGUGUAACCUGCAAUGUGAUAUUAGUAACAAAAAUUAGGUGUUUGGUGCCUCACCUUUCACGAAAAAGGGAAAAAGAAAAUCAAUGGAGAGGGAUAUAACAGCUACUUGUUUGCUUAGAGUUGAAGGGAAAUAGGGUUUUGUCAAAUCUAUAAAAGAGUAUUUGUAAGCAAAUGUGAGAUUGUAAAUACCAGGGUAUCACUGUUUUCUAGAUGUCAAUAUUGGGAGGGAAGGAUGGACUAAGUUAAUUUUUCAGGUAUUAUGGUUGGUUUUCAUGGAAUUUGACCACCAACACUUUAUUUCAGAAAGUUUUGUUUCAUUAAGGAUGUAAACAGCAGCAGAAUUUAAAACAUGUGACUGAAAGUGUAAGGUUUUGACCACUAACACAGUGUAAAAUACCAAAUCGCUUUUAAAAUUUACACAUGCGCCAAAGUAAUAUAGAACAAGCGUGUUAUUGUCAUUAUAACUUUAGGGCAUCAAGCAGGAAAAAGGGAAAGAACACGUGGAAUGUGCUCUUGGUAAAUGGAAGUAGAAGACAAUAUCAAACCAACAAUAAGGAUCAGCCAUUGCCUACUACUAUCCCACCAUUUAAAUCUGCACCAUACCACACCCAUAAAAUUCAAUUUCCCACAUCAACAAGCCAAAUGAAAGCAAUCUAUUAGAAGGGUGGAGCGGUAUGAACAGUAAUAGCAACUACAAUUACUAGUGGCAUGUCAAGCGUCAACAUUAUAUUAUUCAAACCAAAUAGAUGGUUUCAUGUCAAGUUAUAUUCUAGAUGUUGCCAAUGGUAAUUUUUUGAGAGCACCAAAGGUACUGAGAGAAACAUCUGCAAACCUUUCGCUAAGCUCUAAGACAACUGUGAUGCUCACAGAGAGAGCUGCUCCAUGUUUUUAGCAUUUCUUGGCACUCCGAAACCUAUCCUUCUUUCUCUCUCAUCAUAUGGGUUUGCUCUGUAAUUAGAACUUGCCUCUUCAUUAUCAGAAUAGCCGGGCCUUUCAGUUAGGAACUGUUCCCAGAAAACAUCAUUCACUCUAACCGGAGCUGAUGCAGGUGCUUGAUUGUUAUUUGGGGUUUCCUGGGAAUUGGAUAAAGCUCUGACCUCGUUACCCAGAUUCAUGUUGUUCUGACUAACUCGGAUAUCAGAAUCUUUGUUACUCUCAUUAAACCUUGAUUCUGGAGAUUUGCCAAUUUCCUGGCCUAGUUGAGGUAUCCUAGUUAAAUAAGGAUUUUUGUUGACUUGCAAAGGAGAAGAUGCCAGACUAAGAUUUAGCUGACAGGAAAUGUGACCAUCAACUUCUUCAUUAGAAGUCAAAUUCGACUGCAGUGAAUGUAGUGCUGGGCUCCCAUUUGCUGGUAUGUCUCUUGGGACAGCUGGAUUCACUUUAAAUGCAUACGAUGCCCCUGUGUCUGAAAGUUCCAAUGUUUCAGGUGCCAGUAGUAAACCUGAUGUCCUAGUCAGUGCAUCUUUUGGAUUCCCUUCAGAUAUUUUUCUUUGUGGGCUUCCCCCAUCUUCAUUGGAGCUCUGUGUGCUGUGUGAAACCAAAUUAAUAUCUGAAACAGCUGGUGACAAUUCCAGUCUCAACUUAUCUGGGAAAUCUUGAUGGAUGACAUUCGACUCAGGUCUAGAACUACUGUGAUUUUCCACAAGACUAUUUUCUGCAAUUGGCAUUGGGUGAUCAACUUGGGGCAAUCGUCUCUUCUUGCUAUAGGCUGAAAAAUCCAUAGCUUCAAUCUUACGAGCAAGGUGUUCAACAAAAGUAGGGUUUUGAACAGCCUUCUCUAAGAACGACAGCAGCUUUUCCUGCCUCUGCUGCAUAGUAUCUAUCUUCUGUGUUAGAUCUUCCACCUGUAGCUUUGCAGAUGACCGCUGCUGUUCAAACCCUAGAAUACUUGCCUUGAGUUUAGCUUUAUCACGUGCAAGCUUUUCUAUUUCUUCCUCAUAUGCUGCUCUUUCUGGAUCCACUAAAGAACCUUGAGGUUGACUAUGACUGUGGAUUGGUUUUCUUCGGUAGAUAUUCUUAAGCAGGUGCUUUUGAUCUUUCACAAAAUCUUCGUUGGCAAAUUCCCAUCUCUCAGGAUCAAUCUUUCUAAAUCCCUGUCAACAGAAAUUAUGCCAUGCUAAGUUAAGUUGGCUUUAAAAAACAAAAUCCUCUACAUGUAGACAAUAAGCUAAUUAAACCCAAUACAGUCUCCCCUCUAAUUUAGAUAAUACCUUAGAAAAUGGGAAAUUUAUCUUACCAAAAAGCAUACACGAUUGAUGUUAUUCCAACUGAAGAGCUGUUAACAAUGUAUAUGGCAGUUUGCACACAGUCUGAUAAGUGUUUUGUGAAGCAGCAUGUGAUGAGAAACUUUUAAAUCCAAAGGUAAAAGAGAGAGUAUGAAAACAAUACAAAUUCUUCACUAUGACAAUCCAUUUCAGACCCAACUAUCAUUGCUUACAAGGACAAAGUUGCAUUCCAUCUUCGAAUAUUAAGGCUCUUCCUUCAUAGCUGACAAUUAGAACAUGCAUAACAUCUAGAAAUUUGCAAAUUUCGCUAAAAUCAAACAUCGUUAAACUUUCAAAUCCAUAGGUAAAAGAGAGCAUGAAAACAAUACGAAUUCUUUUCUAUGACAAUCCAUUUGAGACCCAACCAUCAUUGCCUACAAGAACAAAGUUGCAUUCCAUCUUUGAAUAUAAAGGCUCUUCCUUCAUUACUGACAAUUAUAAAAUGCAUAACAUGUAGAAACUUGCAAAUUUCACUAAAAUCAAACAUCGUUAAGUUAAUCCAUUACCCACCAAUAUUUCCUGCCCAUCAUUUACUUAUUUUUAUCAAAUAAUUCACAACCAUUCUUUCCAAAUACAUGUUCUGUACCAAAACCCAGCCAUAUUGGGCAUGAAUGAGCCAAUACAGCAAACUAGUAUUUUAGCAUCUGAUAAACGAGCUGAUUCCGUCGUUAUACAUUCAUUCAUUCAAUAUUAAACCAGAUCAGAGACACGCUUUGAUUAUGCCAAGGGCUCCUGCAUCUAAAAUAGAUACUCAGACUACAAGUAGUCACUAAUCUAUACUCAGAUUACAAGUAUUCACUAAUCUAUCUUCCAAUAAGGAUUAUUGAUUCUUCCAUUUCUAAAUCUUCCCAUCCCAUCAAACCAUUUCCUCAAUCCGCGGCCAGCCUCUAAACCCAAACCCUGCACUUAAAAAUGAUCAACUCCCCAACGAAAUGAUCAACCAUUUCUACACUUAAAAAGGCUCUAAAGAAAAAAAUUUCUUCACUUCCAUGAUAUCAAGAAUUUCAAUUUAGAAAAAACCCUUCGACGACUCAUUUGCCACAAAGAUUCAAACUCGUAAUAACAAAACCAAAAGGAAACAAAAUUUAGAGCACUCACAUAGGUAUUUAAUUGUCUGAUAAAGCUAGAGAAAUUAUUGUGCUUGAAAAAGGUAGGGAGCAACAAUCUGGCGAAUUCUGGAGGGUUCCAAACAACAAAGCUGUUUUUAUUCGAACUCCAAGACACGAUCUCGUCGGUCGAUGAAUCAUCCACCAUGUCAUAUGUCUUUACCAAGAACGGCGCCGGUCCUCCUCCACCACCACCACCACCUCCUGAGGUCGCUGACGAUGGUCCUGCUUCCAUUUUGAUUGUUCUGUCGAAGAAAAGACGAGUACGUGUUGAAUUUUGGGAAUGUAUUUGGAGAAAUUGGAGCGUAUGUUAUUCUUGUUGUUGUCCAGUUCGUUAGUACAUGUUUUUAAUGUGACACGUCAGUUUUUUGAGGACUUAUUUUAGCAUUUUUGUUUUGAAGAUGCUAAAUGGAAAAUUAAAAAUUAAAAAAAUAUAUUAUUUUAAUUUUUUAAUGUUUAUUUUAUAUAUUUCAAGCAUUGUACUAAACAAAAUGUUAUUUUAUUAUUUUUUUUUUAUAAAAAUACAAUUCCUAUAUUUCUUGUAAGAAUAUCAAUUUUUUUUCACUAGUUUUUUCAUUGAUUUUUUUUAAAUUUAUAUUUUUUAUUUGCUUUUUAUGAUAUCAUUCUUGUCUUAUUAUUCGUGUCAUGAUUCCAUCAAGUUCACUAGGAUUGAAUCGAGUUAUUUUCUAAUUAAAUUUUUUAAUUUUUUAAUUUAAUAUUAGAUUAAUUGUGAAUCGUUUAGAUUAUUUUUAGAGCCGCAAAGUCAACCGAUUCAUAUCAAGUUUUUAAAUAGUUAUGUAUGAAAUACAAUUAACUCUUCUAAAAUGCUUCUUGUCAUUUGAGUGCACAUAAAUAAAUAAAAAUAUUUAUAUUAUUUAAUAAACUAUAUUAUCA
rnacentral:lncRNA from 1 species